rnacentral:rRNA from 1 species
AGCGAACGCUGGCGGCAGGCCUAACACAUGCAAGUCGAACGGAUCCUUCGGGAUUAGUGGCGGACGGGUGAGCAACACGUGGGAACGUGCCCUUUGGUUCGGAACAACUCAGGGAAACUUGAGCUAAUACCGGAUGUGCCCUUCGGGGGAAAGAUUUAUCGCCAUUGGAGCGGCCCGCGUCUGAUUAGCUAGUUGGUGAGGUAACGGCCCACCAAGGCUACGAUCAGUAAAUGGUUUGAGAGGAUGAUCAGCCACACUGGGACUGAGACACGGCCCGGAAUCCUACGGGAUGCAGCAGUGGGGAAUCUAGCGAAAUGGGCGAAAGCCUGACGCAGCCAUGCCGCGUGAAUGAUGAAGGUCUUAGGAUUGUAAAAUUCUUUCAGCGGGGACGAUAAUGACGGUACCCGCAGAAGAAGCUCCGGCUAACUUCGUG